rnacentral:misc_RNA from 1 species
GAUGAAGAACGUAGCGAAAUGCGAUAAGUAAUGUGAAUUGCAGAAUUCUGUGAAUCAUCGAAUCUUUGAACGCACAUUGCGCCCGCCAGCACUCUGGCGGGCAUGCCUGUCCGAGCGUCAUUUCAACCCUCAGGCCCCCCGGGGACUGGUGUUGGGGAUCGGCCCGCCCUGGCGCGGCGCCGUCCCCGAAAUACAGUGGCGGUCUCGCUGCAGCCUCCCCUGCGUAGUAGCACACCUCGCAUUGGAGAGCGGCGCGGCCACGCCGUGAAACCCCAACUUCUGAUAGUUGACCUCGGAACAGGUAGGAAUACCCGCUGAACUUAAGCAUAUCAAUAAGCGGAGGA